GGGUCAGUAGGUUGGUCGUGCCUGCGGUACGUACUGGUCUCACUGAUUCCUCCUUCCUGAAGAACCGUAAUGCCAUUAAUUUGGUGUUGCGGGGAAACAGGACUGUUACUUUGAAAAAAUUAGAGUGUUUAAAGCAAGCUAACGCUUGAAUACAUUAGCAUGGAAUAAUGAAAUAGGACGAUCGAUCCUAUUUUGUUGGUUUCUAGGAUUGACGUA
rnacentral:rRNA from 1 species